rnacentral:rRNA from 1 species
GGAAUUAAUUUAAUCGCAGUGGCUUGAACCGGGCAAAAGUCGUAACAAGGUAGCUGUAGGUGAACCUGCUGCUGGAUCAUUACUCACCGUGA